CGACCCCUUACCAGGAAAAGCUGAAAGAAACAACAACUAAGCAGAGGAAAAGAAACCAACCAGGAUUCCCUCAGUAACGGUGAGUGAAGAGCCCAGCACCGAAUCCUUGCCCGGGUGACUGGUGCAGGGAAAUGUGGUGUACGGAAGUCCGUCUCCCUGGCGCAGCCCAGGGGACCCAAGUCCUUGUGAUUGAGGCUCAGUCCGCGGACUGUGUGAGGCCGGUGGCGGCUCCUGGCACGUCAGGAUCAGGUCUUCCCGGAGUCGGGUUGUUUGUGAAUGUAGCCCAAAGCGGGUGGUAAACUCCAUCUAAGGCUAAACACCAGCACGAGACCGAUAGUGGACAAGUACUGUAAGGGAAAGUUGAAAAGAACUUUGAAGAGAGAGAUCAAGAGGCGUGAAACCGUUUAGAGGUAAACGGGUGGGGUCCGUCCAGAGGAUUCAACAUGGUGCAGCUCCAAGGGGUGGGGGGACUGCCCCCGGGUGCGCCAACCGCCAUUGGGCGCACUUCUUCCAAGGUGGUGCACAGUGACCGGCUCUGGGGUCAGCCAGGAAGGCCGCACGGAAAGUGGCUCCCCUCCCCGGAGGAGAGUGUUACAGCCUGCGGCAUCAGCCCUCGCCCUGCCCCUGGGUCGUGGGGGACUACUGCCGAUGCACCCUCCCCCACCGGGCCCCCCGGCUUCUGGCAGGACUGUCGACUGGACCAGACUGCCCUCAGUGUGGCCUGACUGCGUCCCGCCGCCAGGCCGGCGGGCUCAGCUUGGGUGCCUGGGGUAAGCGGCGACUUUGGUGAACCACUCGUCAAGUCUUGAAACACGGAUCAAGGAGUCAAACAGGUGCGCGAGUCUGAGGGUGGGCAGGAGACCCCCACAACACAAUGAAAGUGAGGGCUGGCAUGUGCCGGCUGAGGUGGGAUCCCCCCGCACUGCAAGGGGGGUGCACCACUGGCACGUCUCACCCUUCCCGUCGGGGAGGUGGAGUAUGAGCGCACCUGGUGGGACCUGAAAGAUGGUGAACUAUGCCUGGGCAGGGCAAAGCCAGAGGAAAUUCUGGUGGAGGUCCGUAGUGGUCCAGACGUGCAAAUCGGUCAUCCAACCUGGAUACAGAGGUGAAAGACUAAUCAAACAAUCUAGUAGCUGGUUCCCUCCGAAGUUUCCCUCAGGAUAGUUGGCGCUCAGCAGAUGCAGUUUUAUCUGGUAAAGCGAAUGAUUAGAGGUCUUGGGGCCAAAACUAUUUCAACCUAUUCUCAAACUUUAAAUGGGUAAGAAGCCCGACUCGCUGGCUUGAAGCCAGGUAUGGAAUGCAAGCGCCCAGUGGGCCACUUUUGGUAAGCAGAACUGUCGCUGUGGGAUGAAACGAACGCCAAGUUAAGGUGCCCAAUGCAGACGCUCAUCUAACUCCAGAAAAAGUGUUGGUUGAUAGAGACAGCAGGACGGUGACCAUAGAAGUCGGAAUCCGCUAAGGUGUGUAACAACUCACCUGCCAAAUCAACAAGCCCUGAAAAUGGAUGGCGUUGGACCAUCGGGCCCAUACUCGGCCAUCGCCAGCGCUGGGAGCCGAGGGAGCUACGCCAUGAUGAGUAGGUGGGCCACCGUGGUGGCACUGAAGCCCAGGGUGAGGACCUGGGUGGAGCCGCCGCGGGUGCAGAUCUUGGUGGUAGUAGCAAAUAUUCAAACGAGAGCUUUGAAGGCUGAAGUGGAGAAGGGUUCCAUGUGAACAGCAGUUGAACAUGGGUCAGUCGGUCCUGAGAGAUAGGCGAGCGCCGUUCUGAAGGGAAGGGUAAUGGCCUCCGUCACCCUGACCGAUCAAAAGGGAGUCGGGGUUCAGAUUCCCAAAUCCGGAGCGGCAAAGAUAGGCGCCUCAUAGCAUCCAAUGCAGUGACACAAACGAUCCCGGAGAAACCGGCAGGGGCCAUGGGAGCGUUCUCUUUUCUUUGUAAAGGGCAGGGUGCCCUGGAAUGGGUUCGCCCCGAGAGAGGGGCCCAUGCCCUGGAAAGUGUCACGGUUCCGGCAGUAUCAGGAGAGUUCUCACUGGCUCUUGAAAAUCCAGGGGAGUGGGUGUAAGUCUUGUGCCGCGUCAUAUCCAUACCCGCAGCAAGUCUCUAAGGUGAACAGCCUCUGGCAUGUUACAACAAUGUAGGCAAGGGAAGUCAGCAAGCCAGUUCCAUAACUUCGGAUUAAGGAUUGGCUCUAAGGGCUGGGUCAGUCGGGUGUGAAGUGGGGCUGGGCACAUGCAGAGGCUGGACGAGGCAUUGCCAGCCCUCACCACGCUCCCCCCUGCCGGGGGAGCCGGCAGGUAUGGCGGCGACUCUGGCCACAUGCCGGGCCCUUUCUGUGGAUCGCCCCGACUGUGCCGGUGCAGGUCCCUACCAGCAUCCCACAUCGUCCGGCAGCUAGCAGCUGACUUAGAACUGGUGCAGACUAGGGAAAUCUGACUGUUUAAUUAAAACAAAGCAUUGCGAAGGCCCAAGACAGGUGUUGACGCGAUGUGGUUUCUGCCCAGUGCCCUGAAUGUCAAAGUGAAGAAAUUCAAUGAAGCCCGGGUAAAAUGGUGGGAGUAACUAUGACUCUUUUAAGGUAGCCAAAUGCCUCAUCAUCUAAUUAGUGAUGCGCAUGAAUGGAUGAACGAGAUUCCCACUGUCCCUACCUACUAUCUAGCGAAACCACAGCCAAGGGAACAGGCUUGGCAGAAUUAGUGGGGAAAGAAGACCCUGUUGAACUUGACUCUAGUCUGGCACUGUGAAAAGACAUGAGAGGUGUAGAAUAAGUGGGAGGCCUCGGCCAGUGAAAUACCACUACCCAUUGUUUUUUCAAUUACCUGGUGAGGCAGGGGGGUGAGCCCCACCAGGGCUCUCACUUCUGGCUCCAAGCGCCUGGGUGCUCGGGCGUGACCCACUCUGGGGAUAGUGUCAGGUAGGGAGUUUGACUGGGGUGGUACACAUGUCAAAGAGUAAUGCAGGUGUCCUAAGGCAAGCUCAGGGAGGACAGAAACCUCCAGUGGAGCAGAAAGGCAAAAGCGCGCUUGAACUUGAUUUUCAGUAUGAAUAAAGACCGUGAAAGUGUGGCCUCAUGAUCUUUCUGGCUUUUUUGGGUUUUAAGCAGGUGGUGUCAGAAAAUUUACCACAGGAUUAACUGGCUUGUGGCAGCCAAGCGGUCACAGCGACAUCACUUUCUGAUCCUUUGAUGCUGGCUCUUCCUAUCAUUUUGAAGCAGAAUUCACCAAGCAAUGGAUUGUUCACCCACUAAUAGAGAACGUGAGCUGGGUUUAGACCGUCGUGAGACAGGUUAGUUUUACCCUACUGAUGAUGUGUUGCUGUGAUAGUAAUCCUGGCUCAGUACAAGAGGAACCGCAGGUUCAGACAUUUGGUGCAUGUGCUUGGCUGAGGAACCAACGGUGCGAAGCUACCAUCUGUGGGAUUAUGACUGAACGCGUAUAAUUCAGAAUCCUGCCUAACCAUAACGAUACCGCAGUGCCAUGGAUCUCCGCUUGGCCAAGGAUAGCUGGCUGCAAGUUCAGCGAGGAGAGCCGCUCAUCACUGGGUCGGAGUGCAGAUGGAAAAGGGGGGGGCAACCUCUCUCCAGCAGUGCACCACACGUUCGUGGGGAACCGGGUGCUAAAUCAUUCAUAGACUACCUGAUUCUGGGUCAGGGUUUCGUACAUAGCAGAGCAGCAAAAAGCUGCAAUCUACUGAAAGUCAGGCCCUCGAAGCCAAGUUUUUG